rnacentral:lncRNA from 1 species
UGGAAUUUAAUACAUUCUAAGAAUGAUUCUACGAUCAAGUGUGUUUCAUAACAAGAUAAAUUUUGUUGAAAUCACUUUUAACUUUGUACCAUGCAAGGCAAAGGUAAAGAUGAUAUAAUUAGUUAAGCAUUUUGUUGAGUAAGUGGAGGGAGCAACAAUGGUUUCUUUGAAGCAUUUCAUCGAACGAGUGGAGGGAGCUCCGUGAGGGGCAUUGUAGGCACAAGUCUGAAUCGUGGUGUUCUAGAGAAGGGGCAGCGGCAAGAAAAAGGAGAAAAAGAACUUGGCAUAAUCGAUGAUCGAAUUCGAUGAGAGGGUCGAAAAUUGAGAAAAAAAAAUUUAUGAGAGAAAAAAGAACUAACGAGUUAAGGGGGAGAGAAACAGCUCAAGCGGAAGAAAUUUCAACUAUACGGAAUCGAUCCUUUUUUUUUUUUAGUUUGGGCAGAUUCUUAAUUAAAACCCAUUAAUAGGAUAAUAGAACUAAAAGAUAUAUGAC